UGUAGAGACAAAAAGUUAUAGCAACACUUUAGAAGUUUCCCGUUUUCCCUCAUUUGUUGAAAACAGAGUUUCAACUGUUGUAAACAACCCUGCCAUAGCCUGCUUUAGCUAGCACUAACAACAAGCUAACACUAACGUGGCCUACACUGUAAAUUGCAUUUACCCCUUUUUGUUGUCCCAACGUUUGAUUUCGUGUUAAUAUAACAAGACUUUUGUAUUGUUGUUGUGAUAAAUUAGAAUAAUUAGUUAAACACAUCUCAACAACACUAAAAAUGUUAAACAAUAAUUUUAUGUCCAGUCAAAUAAAUUAUCCAAGUCUACUUGACUUUUGAGCAUUAAAAUGUAUGUCCACUGGGUGGCGGUAAGUGGCACAAAGUUUGUUUCGCAUGUGCCUAUGAUGACGGAAGAAGAAGUCCACGGAGUUUGGGCUCAGUCAAGCAGUCUCACGUGGGCAAUGUUCUGUCGGCUUGCUUCAGAAGGACUAACGACUCCAAUUAGGGUUAAAACCAACUACUUUGUCCAUCUAAAGGUGACACUGAACCAGUUCAACAGAGGCCCACCACUUUGGUAAGUUUUCUUUGGUUUUAUGUUGAAUGUGUUAGUUGUUAAAUAGCAUUAGCUCGAUUAGUCAUAGUGUAAUGAAUAAAUAAAAGGUCUGAACCUGAAAGUAAAUCGUGUAAUUCUAAGUUUAAUGUUGAAUGCAACUUAGUAUAUCUUAUAUUUGAACGUUAGAAGUAGGUAACUCGCUGUUUGUUGGUUAGCAUAGCAGGGUUGGCGGGGAAAUUGUUUUGGGAAAUGUUUACUCAGUAACACGUUAAUUAACCUUUUUCCCGAAAAUGUAUACUCAUAAAAUUAAGCUAAAUGCUAAAUGCUCAAAGCCGGGUCCACAUGGGCGCAUCUGUGGCGCGAAACAGCAGCGGAAUCUCGCAGCAUCUCAGCCGUUCUCCUCGCUAAACUCGCGCGAUCACAAUCCCACGAGACUUCGAAUGUCUCGGUUUGUUUAUGCCAUCCGCCAUUAAACCAAGAAGACAAUUUACAUCACGUUUAAGAUCUCUGUUUGAUGUCAUGUAUACUGCCGUGCCUCUCCACUACCAGGGUUAAAACCGUGAAAAACACUUGUCGAACCAUGCUGAGGGUAAAUCAGCCGUGAGGUUACACGCGUGGACAUCAUCUACAUCGAUAAUAAAUCGCAUCUAUGUAACAGACUUUUAUUUUGACACUACCGGUCAAUUUAGACUUAUGCUGUGUGUGUGUGAUUUCCAGUUUGCUCAGCUGACAUCUGUUGACCUAAGAAGUCUUUCUUCAGUGGACUGGAUCAGCAUUUGCCAAGGUUCCUGGAGCUAUUCAAGGCCAAGAGUGGGAAAUCAGCUGGACUAAGCAGGCAGCUUAAAUGUCUUGAUGACUCCUCUAUGCUGAGGAAGAGGUCAGUUGUUCUUCCGGUGCCUUCCGUAUUUUCUCAAGGAUGAUCCUUCAAAUGCAUUCAAGACUGUUCAGGCCAUUGACGAGGAAGCCACACUCACUCGGGGAAUGAAAAUUGGAGUUCUGCUGGUGAAAGAUGGAGAGGACAUCAUUGCCACAUCAGUCAUUCUUGAGGAACAAGUGGUCCUGCCUGAUGUGGAAGACAUUCCUCAUGCCAUUGCUCUACUGAUGGGUCUGCUUUUUGCCUUUAAUAUAGACUAUCCAAAGGAACUCAGGUACACAUUUGAAGUUUUUCAAAAGGUCCUGAUGAACAUCGGCGGAGGUCAGUGUUCCCUUGUGCAUGGUUUGAGAAACAGACUAUUACAAAAAACCAUGUAGAUUCUCCUGAAAUGUCUCAUCUCAUGACUCAUGGAUGUCUGAGCUUUUUGAAAGCACUCAACGUUUCCUGUUAAACAUUGUUCCAAAGGUCAUAUAGAAGUUUGGCACAUGGUUUGGAAUUCUUGUUUUGUUAUUUCAUCUGUUUAGGUUUAUUCCAUCAGAAAAUAUAGUCAUAUCAGUUCAAAGCCAAUCAAAUGCAUAGGUUGAUAAAAAGUAUUGCAAUAAAGAGGUCAACAUAAGACCAAACGAUAGAUGACAAGAUUAAAAUGUGCACUAUUUGUUUAGAACUACUAUUUUGAAUUGUAUCAUUUUGAAUUUUAUUUUAUUGUUUUUAUUUGUGCAAGGUU